AUUGAACGCUGGCGGCAUGCUUUACACAUGCAAGUCGAACGGUAACAGGCCGCAAGGUGCUGACGAGUGGCGAACGGGUGAGUAAUGCAUCGGAACGUGCCCAGUCGUGGGGGAUAACUGCUCGAAAGAGCAGCUAAUACCGCAUACGAUCUAUGGAUGAAAGCGGGGGACCGUAAGGCCUCGCGCGAUUGGAGCGGCCGAUGUCAGAUUAGGUAGUUGGUGGGGUAAAGGCUCACCAAGCCAACGAUCUGUAGCUGGUCUGAGAGGACGACCAGCCACACUGGGACUGAGACACGGCCCAGACUCCUACGGGAGGCGGCAGUGGGGAAUUUUGGACAAUGGGGGCAACCCUGAUCCAGCAAUGCCGCGUGCAGGAAGAAGGCCUUCGGGUUGUAAACUGCUUUUGUAUGGAUCGAAACGGUCUGGGUUAAUACCCUGGGCUAAUGACGGUACCGUAAGAAUAAGCACCGGCUAACUACGUGCCAGCAGCCGCCGUAACAC
rnacentral:rRNA from 1 species